rfam:Schistosoma margrebowiei strain Zambia genome assembly, scaffold: SMRZ_scaffold0000188
AUCCAGCUGAAGAGUCCCAAAUAGGACGAAACGCGCAUCCUGGAU